AUGCAUCCACUGAUAGACCUGAAGCUGGCUUCAUUAGCUUCUGGGUUUGCAUAGAGAUGCUAAACUGAGCAUUCCUUGUGCUUUCUGACUGCUCCAAUUUAUAGCAGCACAGAUUGAAUUGGGGAAAACAUGA